AGUGAACGCUGGCGGUAGGCCUAACACAUGCAAGUCGAACGGCAGCACAGGAGAGCUUGCUCUCUGGGUGGCGAGUGGCGGACGGGCGAGGAAUACAUCGGAAUCUACUCUGUCAUGGGGGAUAACGUAGGGAAACUUACGCUAAUACCGCAUACGACCUCCGGGCGAAAGCAGGGGAUCUUCGGACCUUGCGCGAUUGAAUGAGCAGAUGUCGGAUUAGCUAGUUGGCGGGGUAAAGGCCCACCAAGGCGACGAUCCGUAGCUGGUCUGAGAGGAUGAUUAGCCACACUGGAACUGUGACACGGUCCAGACUACUACGGGAGGCAGCAGUGGGGAAUAUUGGACAAUGGGCGCAAGCCUGAUCCAGCCAUACCGCGUGGGUGAAGAAGGCCUUCGGGUUGUAAAGCCCUUUUGUUGGGAAAGAAAUCCAGCUGGCUAAUACCCGGUUGGGAUGACGGUACCCAAAGAAUAAGCACCGGCUAACUUCGUGCCAGCCGCCGCGGUAA
rnacentral:rRNA from 1 species